UUAUGGUUCAGUGGUAAGAAUAUCUGCCUUGCAUGUUGAAGGUCCCAGGUUAAAUCUCUGACCCUAACCAGCAAAG